CUUUAUUAUGAGCUUAUAAAGCAUUUUGAUUUCGACUCAAAAUAAGGAUUA
rnacentral:tRNA from 1 species